AGCUUUGCGCAGCGGCAGCCUUGUAGCCAAUGAGGUUUAUCUGAGGCGCGCGGAUAUUGCUAAUUGAAAACUUCUCAGUACUAUCCCGCCAUGAUGACUUGAAAUAUAGUAGGCAUUGGCAUUUUUGACAGUCUCUACAGAGA